UUUAUGACUUUGUGUGGUUCAUGAAAUGUGAGGUAAUCUUGAGAUGAUUUACAUGGAACAUUAAAGGAGACUGAUUUUGAGGAGGGCUUAGGAAACUUUUAAAGGAAGGUUGGACUACAGGACAUCUCUAUGUGCAUCCUGAAGUCUGUAUACAGUUCCACUAUUGCAAAGAAGCUACAAACAUGCAGACAAAUUGCAGAUAUGAGAAAUUCCUCUUUACCACGUUAAUAUGGAAGGAUAUUUAUAUAUAUAUUGGAUAACUUCUAUGUGCUCUACUUAUAACCUUUUUUAAAACUAUG